rnacentral:misc_RNA from 1 species
AAGACUAUAGACCUGCGGAGUACCUGCGGAAGGAUCAUUACAGAGUUAUCAAACUCCUAAACCCUUUGUUAAUUUACCUAUUUGUUUCUUCGGCAGGUGGUCCCUGGGAGGGUCCUGCAGCCUGUUAAGGUACCUGCCGAAGGUCAUAACUCGGUUUUACAUUAUGUGUCUAAGUCUUACUAUAAAAUAAGUCAAAACUUUUAGCAAUGGAUCUCU